AUUGAACGCUGGCGGCAUGCCUUACACAUGCAAGUCGAACGGCAGCACGGGAGCAAUCCUGGUGGCGAGUGGCGAACGGGUGAGUAAUAUAUCGGAACGUGUCCAGUAGUGGGGGAUAGCCCGGCGAAAGCCGGAUUAAUACCGCAUGAGACCUGAGGGUGAAAGCGGGGGAUCGCAAGACCUCGCGCUACUGGAGCGGCCGAUAUCAGAUUAGCUAGUUGGUGGGGUAAAGGCCUACCAAGGCAACGAUCUGUAGUUGGUCUGAGAGGACGACCAGCCACACUGGGACUGAGACACGGCCCAGACUCCUACGGGAGGCAGCAGUGGGGAAUUUUGGACAAUGGGCGCAAGCCUGAUCCAGCCAUUCCGCGUGCAGGAUGAAGGCCCUCGGGUCGUAAACUGCUUUUAUUAGUGAAGAAUAUGACGGUAACUAAUGAAUAAGGAUCGGCUAACUACGUGCCAGCAGCCGCGGUAAGGA
rnacentral:rRNA from 1 species